AAGUAUCACAGUUCUUUUAGAAUUUGUCCAGCAGGUUUCCAGUCAUUACCAAAAGACCCUA
ensembl:snRNA U7 U7 small nuclear RNA